rnacentral:rRNA from 1 species
UACGUAGGGAGCAAGCGUUGUCCGGAUUUAUUGGGCGUAAAGAGCUCGUAGGCGGUUAAGUAAGUCAGGUGUGGAACCUCCAGGCUCAACCUGGAGACGCCACUUGAUACUGCUUUGACUUGAGUUCGGUAGGGGUAAGCGGAAUUCCUGGUGUAGCGGUGAAGUGCGCAGAUAUCAGGAAGAACACCCGUGGCGAAGGCGGCUCUCUGGGACGGUACUGACGGCUGAGACGCGAAAGCGUGGGGAGCGAACAGG